rnacentral:rRNA from 1 species
UACAGAGGGUGCAAGCGUUGUUCGGAAUUAUUGGGCGUAAAGGGCGCGUAGGCGGUGCGGUAAGUCUCUAGUGAAAUCUCCGGGCUCAACUCGGAGCCUGCUAGGGAAACUGCCGUGCUUGAGUGUGGGAGAGGUGAGUGGAAUUCCCGGUGUAGCGGUGAAAUGCGUAGAUAUUGGGAGGAACACCUGUGGCGAAAGCGGCUCACUGGACCACAACUGACGCUGAGGCGCGAAAGCUAGGGGAGCAAACAGGG